rnacentral:rRNA from 1 species
UACGUAGGGGGCGAGCGUUAUUCGGAAUUACUGGGUGUAAAGGGUAUGUAGGCGGCCCUUCAAGUCGCGUGUCAAAGUCCAGUGCUCAACGCUGGGUGUGCGCGCGAUACUGACGGGCUUGAGGGCUGGAGAGGUGAGCGGAAUUCCCGGUGUAGUGGUAAAAUACGUAGAGAUCGGGAGGAACACCAGCGGCGCAGGCGGCUCACUAGACAGUUUCUGACGCUAAGAUACGAAAGCGUGGGGAGCAAACAGG